rnacentral:tRNA from 1 species
GGGCCCGUAGCUCAGUUUGGAUAGAGCGCUGGCCUUCGGAGCCAGAAGUCCCGGGUUCAAAUCCCGGCGGGCCCG